UUUUGAGCAUCUGUUUUUUCAUAUAUUUGCAAACAUUUUCCAAGUCAUCAGUAUAAAUAAAAAUAAAAAAUAAAAAAACGUAACAUUUCUGUUAAUGAUUCAUUUGGUUCCAAUUACCUUUUUGUUCAUUGUUUGCUCUGAGGCACCGUUGCCAAUAAAGGUUGGUGAAUUGAAGUACCGGUAGGCACUUUACACAUCCACUGAAGAAAAUAGUUCCAAAACAUAUUUGAAUAAGGAGGACAACGAAAUGUAUUUAUUUACAUUGAGAACUUUUGCAACAUCGGUUUUACAUUUGUUAAACCGAUGUAGCACUCUCAAAAAUUAAUCUUGUGUUUCUUGGAAAACGUAAAAUGACCCGCGGAUGGAUAUGCGGUUUCAAAAUCAAGCCUGUUCUCUUCAUCAGUCCGUUGGCGCGGAGUCUGCCUGUUGGCUGAUCUACGAAAGAAUCUGUAAGUACAUUUCUUCUGUUUUACCUAGUACCAAAUUUUAGGGAGAGAUUUUAAAUCGCUUGUUAAAAAAAUUGUUGCUCGUAACAAAUCGGACGACAGUAUCCCAAAAGAGGCUUAAUUGUUAUUGUUAUUUUUGCUUUUCUUUAGGGUGAUACUUUUUCUGAUAUUGCUAACACACACAGCUACACACAAUAGGCAGAUUUUAGUGCAGACCGAUUUCAAACGCAGCGUUGUGGGCCAAACCAUUUUCAAAUACCGCCGCCAUUCUAUUUGUUGAGCUGCCAUUGGUUCAUUUGAGCGCCAACGAGGCAGAAUGAAAUCGGUUCACUGAAGAAUCUAUGUUGCUAGCAGAGGUUGUUACAAAGUGUCUGGACACAAUAAAACCAUUUGUAUGAUUUAAAAAGAGUAACUAUUGUGCUUUCAUUCUAUGUACUUGGGCUUUUAAUAAUCUUUCUCACAGUCACAUCAGCAUGCAUGGGUGGGUCUCAUGUAUGGAUUCAGGCUGGUUUGGCUGGGACCCAUGCAAGAUUAUUAUUGUCGUUUUUUUCAAUAAAACUGCAUUGAAUCGUUUAGCUUUGGGCUAUAUAGGUAAUGAUAAGAGGGCAUGGGUUUUAUCUGGGCCAACUGCGUGAGGCUCAAAAGGUUAACCGAAAUGGGACUCAUAUUGUUGGCUCAAUUGGGUUAAAUGUAUGGGCCCAAUUCAGCAUUAACGUGGGCUAACCGGGCAUGGGACAGAAAUGGGAACACUAUAUGGGGCCCAUGUGGUUUCAGUAUAUUGGGCCUAAAAGGUUUUUUGUAAAUAGGAUGAAGGCAUUGUAGUUCAUAUUUUUAAAUUCUUUUUUUAAUUGUUGUGUGACACUUUAAAGCGUUUUGUUAUGUCAUAGUUUAUUUCAAUCUGCCGCUAUUGUGUUGGUCUAGAGUAGUCAUCAGUGUCAGGGUUCCUGUGUGUGUAUGUGAGUGUCGCAUCUUAUUUCAGCGAGGAUCUUUGUGAGGAGCCCGUGGAGCUUGGCACAGGUGGAGGAGCAGCAGAAUCUUCAGUCUACGCUAGAUUGACUGAAGAUUCUACUGGUGUAUGCUAGAUGGUUGCAUACACCGGUAGUCACUCUGGCCUCUCCUGUUGUGAACAGUUUUCUGAGAACGUUUCUGUGUCUACUAGAAGUCACCUGGUCUCUGUGUUUGUUCGAUCCUAGGGGUUUUGUCGCCUCAUUCGAGAACUCACCAGUGAAUACCUGCCUGCUCGCUCCGCCGAUUCCACUGCCUCCACUCCACCCUUCGAGCUUCCAGCUCUCUUCCAUUCCCACCUCGCAUUUACCUUCGGAACCGCUGCACACCCUCUCUCAGGAACCUGGCAUCUCACACCCACGCCUCGAAAGACCCGCACCGAAGCUUCAAGAGGAUCAGCGUGUGAAGAUCACUUUAUAAUGAUUUGAAAAAGGUUGCCAUGGCUACAGAAAUUGGAGGAGCAUCCUUAGAUGACACAAUACAACCAGCUGUGCGAUUCCUCAUGUCCCAUGAACUGGAAGUCCAGUUCAACCUUUUUGGCCAACAUUGGAAACAAGCUCUUGGACCUGCGUCUCU